rnacentral:lncRNA from 1 species
CUUCCUUCCUUUCUCUCUUGCCUUUUACAAAUGCGGUGCCUCCUCUUUGCCUCCCGCCCGGCUCGCCUCUCCUCGCUGGCAGGCUGUUACUGAGGGUGAGGGAAGCCCUUCCAGCCAGUUGCCGGGAGCCCUGAAGACGCGGUGGCGGGGCGGCGGGGAGCAGGGCGGGAGUGCCCUGGACUCCGCGGAUUCCUUUGGGGCUGGAGGGCCGCACACGUGUUUUACUCCAACUGUUUGCAACUUUUGAAACCCGGGCAAUCUGGCUUUGGCAUUUGAAAACCAUUUCAAACAGGAGAGAUUCCAAGAAAUGAGGGGGGUACGUUGAAACGAUGAAGAAAGGAUGGACACAGCAGUCGAGGUUGAGAGGAUUCCAGGUGUCACCACAGCAGCUGAGAAAGGAAAGAACUUGGAAUUUAGCAUACGUCAGGUUUUAGAUGUGGAAAAGCCCCAAAAGAAGGAGUAGUACCUGUGGGCACAGAGGGCAAUAUGGAGAGAAUAGACAUUAUUCUAAUUCAGGAAAAGGAAAAAUAAUUUGAACCUUCAAAGUAGCCAAGGCUGCCAGUUUCCAGGAUGCUCCCUCUGCAUCUUCCCGGCUGGUGUUUCACCUGGUCUAGUUCCUGUGUCCCAGACUGGAGAAGUUCAAGGCAGAGAUCAUCUCUCUCCUAUCCAACCUUUGAAACCUCAAUACCAAAAACCAUGAACCAUGCCUUGUGUGGAGUGUGCACCAUACACAGUUGUUGAGUGAAUUGAUGAAGUGUGACAUGAAAUUGUUGAAUAAAUGGAUGAAG